CUAAGAAGCUAUGAAUCAGCACUAGCCUUUUAAGCUAGAAAAAGAGGAUACUCGCCCCUCCUUAUGGA
rnacentral:tRNA from 1 species